AAAUAAAUAAUAAUAAUAAUAAUAAUAAUAAUAAUAAUAAUAAUAAUAAUAAUAAUUUGCCGUUGCUCUAGGAGCAAAAUGUAGGUGCAUUUACAUCAGGGCAAGGGGUUGAACCUGUGAUUCUUCCACUGGCAUCAUAAUCGGCCAGCAUUACUGAUGGUCAGGAAUGAAGGGAGUUGUAGUCCAAUGAGGCCACAGGUUUCCUUAUGCUUGAACUACAUGUUCGCUGCUCCCUCAAAGGCAGCCCUUGCAGCACAAGGAACCCAUGUGUGCCAAAUCUGAUAUAGGUUUUUCAGCCUGCAGGUGGGGACACAUUUUCAACCCAGCAGGAACAUCAGUUUCCCACACCAUUUCGGAAGCAAUGUCAGGACAGCUUUCCCCCAUGUCACAUCACCUUUGCUUUUUUGGGGGAACUUCUUCUACCCUGGACAACUCUCAUUCAAAUGCCCCCUGCAUGCCAGAUGCCACCAUACCCAAAUAAACAACCCUAAACAACCCUCCCCACAUGCCCCCCAACUCUGCUGUAUAUUUCUGGGUGGGUGGGAUUUUGGCUAGCUGUUUCUGUGUGCCUGUGAAAUAACCUUUGACAGUAGUUGCUUCGUGUUCUUGAUCUGUGUAUUUCUAUUACUCUAAGCGGAGAAUCUGGUGCUGGUAAGACUGUAAACACCAAGCGGGUUAUUCAGUACUUUGCCAUUGUCGCAGCCCUGGGUGACUCUCCGGGCAAGAAAGGACAAGCUCCUGCCACUAAAACUGGGGGUACCCUUGAAGAUCAAAUCAUUGAGGCUAAC